rnacentral:rRNA from 1 species
CAGCGCCACGAGUGGCAAUCGUGUAUUUGGCCUAAAGCGUCCGUAGCUGGCGUUGUAAAUCCUUUGUGAAAUCGUUGGGCUUAACCUAACGGCGUGCAGAGGACACUGCAAUGCUUGAGACCGGGAGGAGUCAGAGGUAUUCCUGGGGGAGCGGUAAAAUGCUAUAAUCCCAGGAGGACCGCCAGUGGCGAAGGCGUCUGACUAGAACGGAUCUGACAGUGAGGGACGAAAGCCAGGGGAGCGAACCGGAUUAGAUACCCGAGUAGUCC